rnacentral:rRNA from 1 species
GACGAACGCUGGCGGCGUGCUUAACACAUGCAGGUCGAACGAUGAAGCUAGAGCUUGCUCUGGUGGAUUAGUGGCGAACGGGUGAGUAACACGUGGGUAACCUGCCCAUAAGACUGGGAUAACUCCGGGAAACCGGGGCUAAUACCGGAUAACAUUUUGAACCGCAUGGUUCGAAAUUGAAAGGCGGCUUCGGCUGUCACUUAUGGAUGGACCCGCGUCGCAUUAGCUAGUUGGUGAGGUAACGGCUCACCAAGGCAACGAUGCGUAGCCGACCUGAGAGGGUGAUCGGCCACACUGGGACGGAGACACGGCCCAGACUCCUACGGGAGGCAGCAGUAGGGAAUCUUCCGCAAUGGACGAAAGUCUGACGGAGCAACGCCGCGUGAGUGAUGAAGGCUUUCGGGUCGUAAAACUCUGUUGUUAGGGAAGAACAAGUGCUAGUUGAAUAAGCUGGCACCUUGACGGUACCUAACCAGAAAGCCACGGCUAACUACGUGCCAGCCGCCGCAGUAA